rnacentral:rRNA from 1 species
GACGAACGCUGGCGGCGUGCUUAACACAUGCAAGUCGAACGGAGAGGCCCUGCUUUCGUGGGGUGCUCGAGUGGCGAACGGGUGAGUAACACGAGAGUAACCUGCUCUUGACUUUGGGAUAACUUCAGGAAACUGGGGUUAAUACCGGAUAGGAGCUCCUGCUGCAUGGUGGGGGUUGGAAAGUUUCGGCGGUUGGGGAUGGACUCGCGGCUUAUCAGCUUGUUGGUGGGGGAGUGGCUUACCAAGGCUUUGACGGGUACCCGGCCUGAGAGGGUGACCGGCCACAAUGGUACUGAGAGACGGCCCAGAGUCCUACGGGGGACAGCAGUGGGGAAUAUUGCACAAUGGGCGGAAGCCUGAUGCAGCAACGCCGCGUGCGGGAUGACGGCCUUCGGGUUAUGAACCGCUUUCGCCUAUGACGCAGCGUGAGUGACGGUAAUGGGUGAAGAAGCACCGGCUAACUACGUG